rnacentral:rRNA from 1 species
CAGUCGCCGCGGUAAAACGAAGGGUGCAAGCGUUACUCGGAAUUACUGGGCGUAAAGCGUGCGUAGGUGGUGGUUUAAGUCCGUUGUGAAAGCCCUGGGCUCAACCUGGGAAUUGCAGUGGAUACUGGAUCACUAGAGUGUGGUAGAGGAUAGUGGAAUUUCCGGUGUAGCAGUGAAAUGCGUAGAGAUCGGAAGGAACAUCUGUGGCGAAGGCGACUAUCUGGGCCAACACUGACACUGAGGCACGAAAGCGUGGGGAGCAAACAGGAUUAGAUACCCGUGUAGUCCCUGUCUCUUAUAC